rnacentral:lncRNA from 1 species
CUGCUGGGCCCUCUGUAUUCUCAUAGCCUCCUUCCUCUGUGAGCAACUCCAAGAUUUACCUUGAGGACCAACUGGUGCUGGGGAAGAAACAUGUUUGAGAACCUCAAGAGAGACACCCCAUCCUGUCUGCAAGUUUGAGGUGACUGAAAGAAAAAAAAAAAGACAACUACAGAAAAAAAAAUUGGGAGUUCUUUUCCUUGAUUUAGUUGGUCUUUUUUUUUUUUGAGAUUUUCCACAUAGCCUCAAGGAAUGGGGCGGCUAUUUUUCUGGAUGUUAAGAUUUCAGGUAACCACAGCACGGCUCCAGCUGCUCCGGCCUCAGGCUUUCUGCUAUUUACCAGUUCACGCGUGCUAAUGUUCAGAGACCUGGCAGUGCUUCAAGCAACUGAGCGUGAGUGCUGGGCUUCCUCAUGCCCUUUGGCUCUGCGGUGGCCGUGCUGCUGGCCCUACUGCUGGCCCUACUGCUCCACUGCCCUCUGCCACGGUGCAGGAAUAGCCCCAGAAGCACUGAGGAGACAGCUGGCUCAGAAAGGCAUCCUCGCAUCACGUCACACUCGAAAGCAAGAGAGAAACAUUGCACAAUAAUUCCUAAAAGGACGGCAUCACGAUCCUGACACAGAAACUCCUUGGAGGAGUGCUGCACUGCAGUGCCAGCUCUUGGUCUGAGCCCAAACCCUGCUGUGGGACGUGAGCUCUUAAUUUCUCCAGUGGGAGUGUUCCCAGCUGAGUUACACAGAUCUCCAUGAUCUAGUUCAAGCAAAGCUUGACGUUUAUUUAGACUGAGUUAACUCAUUAAUUUCAGCUUUAAAAUCUUACAAACCAUAUCCACCAUAAAAUAAGUUGCACAUUUUUCCCAGGCUCCUCCUAUGCCACGUAAAGUUGUGGCUGCAGAUGGGAAUGUGCUGUGCAUGCAAACAGGGCACACAGAGUUUGCUUUUUGGAAUGCUCUCCAAACAGCCAGAGGACAUCUAAGUAGCUGACAUGUCUUAUUACAUACUUUCUCCCUAAGGGUGUUGAAAGAAGAAACUGGUUUGCUGUAGAGACCUCCUAUUGUUAAGAGAUUAUCACCUAAAAACUCACCUGACUUUUUAUGGAAAUCUGGCCAAAACCCUGCUCUGCUUAGAUUAUUCCAACUUUAUUGCUGCAACUGUGGUCUUUGUUCAGUAAGUUAUGAGUGCAGAUUGCUGUUACCUACACAGGAGCCCAUCCCUUCACCUCUAUGUGAAUGUUUCUCUUGAAAGCUUAAUUAUGAAAGAGUUGUGAAGGGCAC